CGGGGUGUGGCGCAGCCUGGCAGCGCGCUUGUUUUGGGUACAAGAGGUCCCGGGUUCGAAUCCCGGCACCCCGA
rnacentral:tRNA from 1 species